rnacentral:tRNA from 1 species
AGGGAUUUAGCUCAAUGGUUCCAGCGCCUGCCUUGCAAGCACAAGGACCUGAGUUCGAUCCCCAGUACCCCCC